GUUUUCAGGGAUCACAGUCCAUGGCAGAGCCGAGCUGCUCCGGCGGGAAUUGCGUUAAAUGUUCUUUUGAUCCCGUGCAGGAGCCACGGAAGUGCAGGGAGCUCCUCACACCACGCUGGGUGUCCAGGGGCAGAUGAGGGGCUGGGACUGGAGCAGGAGCCUGGAUUAACACUGGACAGCUCUGAUCCCCACUGGAGCGUGGAUCCAGCUGAGGAAGGUAAGGAAUCAGCUCCUUACUUUUUCCGGAUUGGUAAAUCAAA
rnacentral:lncRNA from 1 species